GCCAAUUUUCGAAUAAAGUCUUUGCUCACUCUCUUAGAAAACCCAUUUUCAUUUUGUUCAACCAUCCUCCAAACAAAAUGAGAACUCUUAGAAUAUUCUCUCUCUCGGAGCUCAUCUCAUCUCCGACGAUAGGUUGAGGCGCGGUGGUCGGCGAUCCUAUCCCCGACGACGACUAGCCGUUGAUAGUCAGAGCCCUCUCCUCCGCCCCUUUGUCCGAUUACAGGUCUCUCUCUCUCUGUUUGUUUCCCGAGAAAAAAAAAAUGAAUUUGGAAAUUACCUAGUAGAACUUUGCAAAGAAUUUUUGGUAUUCUCUCUUGUUUUCUCUCUCUCAUUCUCUCCAUUAAUAUUUCUCUUCCUUGCCAAUAAUGUAAUUUGGGGCUAGGGCUUGGGUACUUUGGAAAUGGAAUUACAUACCUGUCCUUUGGAAUCUGAAGUAUGGGUUGGAUGUAUGAGGUUUGAACAUAUUAUCUGAACUACCUGUUCUUUAUAGUUCGAGUUGAAAAUGACUUUCUCGGAAAAGACGAUUCUGGUUACCGAAGGAGCCGGUUUCAUUGGCUCUCACACUGUGGUUCAGCUUCUCAAUGAAGGCUUUAGGGUUUCGAUCAUCGACAAUCUUGAUAAUUUCGUCACCGAAGCUGUUGAUAGGGUUCGUGAUUUGUUCGGCCCUAAGCGUUCUCAGAAUCUUAAAUUCCACCUGGGUGACCUUAGGAAUAAGGACUUGGAGAAGCUCUUUUCUCAAACACAAUUUGAUGCUUUGAACCAUUUUGCUGGCCUAAAAGCUGUUGGUGAGAGUGUUGCAAACCCUCGCCAUUAUUUUGAUUGGCACUAUUAAUCUUUAUGAGGUUAUGGCAAAAUAUGAUUGCAAAAAGAUGGUUUUCUCAUCUUCUGCAACAGUUUAUGGUCAACCUGAAAAAAUGCCGUGUGUUGAGGAUUUCGAAUUGAAAGCUAUGAAUCCUUAUGGAAGGACCAAGCUUUUCCUUGAAGAAAUUGCUCGAGAUAUUCAGAAGGCGAAGCCAGAUUGGAAAAUUAUAUGACUCAGUUACUUCAAUCCUGUUGGGGUUCAUGAGAGUGGUAGAAUUGGUGAAGAUCCAAAGGACAUCCCAAGCAAUCUCAUGCCAUAAAUACAGCAAGUAGCUUUCGGCAGAUUGCUUGAGCUUAAUGUGAAUGGUCAUGAUUAUCCCACGAAGGAUGGUAGUGCUGUCCGAGACUACAUCCAUGUCAUGGACUUAGCUGAUGGUCACAUUGCUGCUCUUCGGAAGCUUUUUACUAAAGAGGAUAUAGAUUAUCAGCGGCUUUCUCAUAGGUUGAAUACAUCAAAGCUUAUUGAAAAUAGUGAAUAUUUCCAAAAUAAACUGGUGGACACAAUACAUUUUAUGCAGAUUCUAAAUUUAAAAGACACUGUUGAAAAGGAUACCUUCUUCCGCAAGCUUCCAAAUUUAGCAAAGCAGCUUCCUCAUCCAAUUGUCCUGAAAAAGUUAGUUCCAUUAUUAGCUUCUACACUUGAAUUUGGUUCAGCUGCUGCCCUUGCUUUGGCUGCAUCUGGGUUGAUUGAUAUCUAUCCAUAUAAUGCAUAGAGCUCUAAUUGCUAGUUCGGCCAAUUUGAUGGCUCUAUAUGAACUAGCGGUUUUUGCGAUGCCCUAGGAAUAAGAUCUAUGUAUGUGCAAAGGAGAAUUUUUUUUUUUGAUAAGUAAUAAGAUUAUAUAAAUCCGAAAAAAUAAGCCACCCAAGUGUACAGGAAAUAUAUUGGUUUGACAAUUAGUACAUUGGACUUGAUGUAUUUGGUUGUA